AUUGAACGCUGGCGGCAGGCUUAACACAUGCAAGUCGAGCGGAAACGAUGGUAGCUUGCUACCAGGCGUCGAGCGGCGGACGGGUGAGUAAUACUUAGGAAUCUACCUAGUAGUGGGGGAUAGCACGGGGAAACUCGUAUUAAUACCGCAUACGACCUACGGGAGAAAGGGGGCAGUUUACUGCUCUCGCUAUUAGAUGAGCCUAAGUCGGAUUAGCUAGAUGGUGGGGUAAAGGCCUACCAUGGCGACGAUCUGUAGCUGGUCUGAGAGGAUGAUCAGCCACACCGGGACUGAGACACGGCCCGGACUCCUACGGGAGGCAGCAGUGGGGAAUAUUGGACAAUGGGGGAAACCCUGAUCCAGCCAUGCCGCGUGUGUGAAGAAGGCCUUUUGGUUGUAAAGCACUUUAAGCAGUGAAGAAGACUCCGUGGUUAAUACCCACGGACGAUGACAUUAGCUGCAGAAUAAGCACCGGCUAACUCUGUGCCAGCAGCCGCGGUAAUACAGAGGGUGCAAGCGUUAAUCGGAAUUACUGGGCGUAAAGGGAGCGUAGGUGGCUCGAUAAGUCAGAUGUGAAAUCCCCGGGCUCAACCUGGGAACUGCAUCUGAUACUGUUGAGCUAGAGUAUGUGAGAGGAAGGUAGAAUUCCAGGUGUAGCGGUGAAAUGCGUAGAGAUCUGGAGGAAUACCGAUGGCGGAGGCAGCCUUCUGGCAUAAUACUGACACUGAGGCUCGAAAGCGUGGGUAGCAAACAGGAUUAGAUACCCUGGUAGUCCACGCCGUAAACGAUGUCUACUAGUCGUUGGGUCCCUUGAGGACUUAGUGACGCAGCUAACGCAAUAAGUAGACCGCCUGGGGAGUACGGCCGCAAGGUUAAAACUCAAAUGAAUUGACGGGGGCCCGCACAAGCGGUGGAGCAUGUGGUUUAAUUCGAUGCAACGCGAAGAACCUUACCUGGUCUUGACAUAUCUAGAAUCCUGCAGAGAUGCGGGAGUGCCUUCGGGAAUUAGAAUACAGGUGCUGCAUGGCUGUCGUCAGCUCGUGUCGUGAGAUGUUGGGUUAAGUCCCGCAACGAGCGCAACCCUUGUCCUUAGUUACCAGCGGGUUAAGCCGGGAACUCUAAGGAUACUGCCAGUGACAAACUGGAGGAAGGCGGGGACGACGUCAAGUCAUCAUGGCCCUUACGACCAGGGCUACACACGUGCUACAAUGGUAGGUACAGAGGGCAGCUACACAGCGAUGUGAUGCGAAUCUCAAAAAGCCUAUCGUAGUCCAGAUUGGAGUCUGCAACUCGACUCCAUGAAGUAGGAAUCGCUAGUAAUCGCGGAUCAGAAUGCCGCGGUGAAUACGUUCCCGGGCCU
rnacentral:rRNA from 1 species